rnacentral:rRNA from 1 species
CCCGGUCUUUGGAGCGAUACGGCACCACCUCUUCCCAUUUCGAACAGAGAAGUGAAACGUAUCAGCGGGGACGAUACUGCACUGGCAACGGUGUGGGACAAUACCUCAAGGCCGGGU